rnacentral:lncRNA from 1 species
GCCACAUCUCUCUCCCUUGGAUUUUUUUCAUGCACACCUCUGAAUUUAUGCAUCUUAAUCUGAUUAAUAUAAGCCCCUUGUUUCUGCCUCAUAUGAUCCCAUGUUUAAAUAGGAGCAGAUAGGGUUUUUGUUUAAAGAGAUAAGAGUCCAACUAUCCUAGGACUCUUGAUUUAUGCCGCCCAUCCUUUUCCUUUUUGUGCCACUUUGUUACAUGGUAACAUCAUGAGAUAGGAAGAGCACAUAAUGAAGUUUUUGGUGUGAAAAGGUUGGCACAAAAACAAGUGGGUG